UCUACAUAAACAAUUAUAGAGCAAUGAAACUUACCUGAUUCAAAAAAACAAAAAUGCUGAACGGAUGAACACUUUUUAUGUGAACACAAAUCACAUUACUUGACCACUAAUCGCCAUGUUAUUCUACAUAAACGCUAUCUGGUAACAUUUGCCUACCAUGCUUACUUUCAUAGAUAUAUGCGGCAUCUUUACCCACUUUACCUCUAUAAUUUGAUAAAAGAAAGGGUGAUUUUAAUUUGUGGAAUAAUUUUAAACGGGAUAUCUUUUAAGUAAAACUGAUCUCGAUCUUCUCCAUUCUGCAAUUACUAAAGAAGAAAUACUUACCGCUGUAGAUAACCUACAUGUCAACAAAGCAGCUGGGGAAGACGGGAUCAGUGUCAGAUUUUACAAGUAUUUUUACACACGAGCUUUUGUUUAUUCUUACAUUUAUUUUUAAUAGUGAUGUCUUUCCGUGUUCUUUUAAUUUUGGUCUACUGGUGUUAGUGCCAAAAAAACAAAAUGAUGUUAAAAUUACUGAGAUUAGGCCAUUGAUACUGUUAAAUCAGAGCAAAUAUAGUCAGCAUUUAUGUUCAGAGAUUGUCCUCAAUCAUUCGGUCC
rnacentral:lncRNA from 1 species